UCUCCGUUGGUGAACCAGCGGAGGGAUCAUUACCGAGUUUACGACCUCCGAGCCCCUCUGCACACCCGUUACUCUUGUAUCUCGUUGCUUCCGCGCGCCCGGUUCACCGCGGCGGCGCGCCAGCGCACCCCCGCGCCCGCGCCCCCCGUUGAAACCCACGAAUUAUACCAAAAAAAAACUCUAAAAGUUCAAUAACGAAUUACUUAAAACUUUCAACAACGGAGCACUUGGUUCAUGCAUCGAUGAAAAACCCAGCCGCCCGGAAGAACACACGUCUGA
rnacentral:misc_RNA from 1 species